AGCGGGACAGACGGACGAACGGACGCACAGACCAGAAAACAUAAUGCCCCUCUACUAUCGUAGGUGGGGCAUAAAAACUAACUUUAGAUUAGACACAUUUGUUUUAAUUACAAAUCCUACCCAUUAUUUAUAAUACAAACAAAUAUAGAAAUGUAAUGUUUUUAAAUUUAAUGGUUUAAGUCUUCGAAUAAACAUGAUGAAGAAACCAAAACCAAACAAACAAACAAGUUUAACCAAAAAAUGUGACCGUGGCUGUUUCGGUUCUUAUGCAUCCUUGGCUCUCAAACAUUAGGCUUUGAGCAUUCUUUCUGCCCCUUUCAUAUAGCUCUUCAACUGUUUCGGUUCUUAUGCAUCCUUGACUCUCAAACAUUAGGCUUUGAGCAUUCUUAAUGAAGAUAAACCUAGAAAAGCGCUUCGGAUGCAUGCAAUUUUUAACGUGUUCUUUUCAUUUCUUAUCAGGUUUAAAAUUCUAAACAUAAACUUUUCUGAAACCAUUAUGUUGAAACAUUGCUAAAAUAAUUAAAAAAAUACUUAGUUUAAAUAGUAACAUCAUAACUGUAUCUAUUAUUUAAUUCAUUGAAAAAUACCACAAAUAAACAAA
rnacentral:lncRNA from 1 species